GCGCGCUCUUCGACCCGCACCGCCAGCCUCCUACCUUUAUCUUUUGGUUCUCACGGUCGCUGGCUCAAGUUUCGUUGUUUCGAGUGCUUGGUGCGGCAGCCGACACGUGCACAGUGCGGAGGUAGUGAUUUUGCAUUGAACAUUACGAGAUAACCCCCAUCUUAAACUAAGAAAACGCGGUUGAGACAAGUGCAUGAGGAAGUAAAAGUUAGUGUUUAAGAGACCCUUUGCAACUGUUUCGGACGCGGAUAAAGUGUGUUUAAGAGACCGAGACAAAUGGGAAAAAAAUGAUAAUCAAUAAACUCACUUAAACUCAACCCGAAAUGUCGAAACAGGACGUUGCAGCAAGGCAGUGAGUUUGUAUGGCGUGGUUGUGAUUUCCACGAAGUUCAGAGGUCUGGAAGUGAACUGAAUCCUAUUAAGAACUCCCGAUAAAGUUCGCCAUGUUAAGGAGUGAUGUUCUGGACAGACACGACACAGGGGCUAACCUUCCCUUGCCUCUGAGUGCUUGACCUAGCCUCGAUUUACCUCUGACCUCUGCUUCCACCACCUUGGUCAAGAACGCCUAACAGGUGAGUGAGUGAACGUUUGUGAGAAGACUGAAGCGACGACGAAUUUUGAAGCGUCGAUAAGGUCACGAAAGGUCAUUCAGGUAAGACGGGAUAGAAGGAGUCAAAAGAUGAUGGAUAGGGAUGGAUAGACAAAAGAAGAAGAGAAAUGAGAAAGAUACAACAGAUGAGAAAGGAGAAAGGAGAGGAGAAAAAAAAAAAAAAAA